GGCCUUCCAGAGUUGUCUUGAGUAUGUGGAAGUGGUACCUGGUAUCCUGAGGAUCUACUUGAUCCAACUUGCUGAGAAAGUUGCCACUGAGGAUUUGUUAUGGGCAUUCAAUUCGCAGUGAAAGUUACGCCAACUGAUGCCAGUGAGGAAAAGCAGAACUGCAGAAUUGCUGGAUUGGACAUGGGCUGUCAGAAGCCAAAGAUGACUGUAGUAUUUCUGCCCUGAUCAGCUAGAAGAAUGGAGUUGCCAGAUACCAAGAUAUGGAAGAAGGUACAAGGAACAGAAUUCAGCAGUGAAGCCAUCCAGACCUGGGC